AGGUGUGUAAUUUAAUGGUAAAAUGUUACUUUUACAAAGUAUGAAUUAAGGGUUCGAAUCCCUUCACAUCUA
rnacentral:tRNA from 1 species